rnacentral:rRNA from 1 species
GACGAACGCUGGCGGCGUGCCUAAUACAUGCAAGUAGAACGCUGAAGGAGGAGCUUGCUUCUCUGGAUGAGUUGCGAACGGGUGAGUAACGCGUAGGUAACCUGCCUGGUAGUGGGGGAUAACUAUUGGAAACGAUAGCUAAUACCGCAUAAUAGCAGUUGUUGCAUGAUAACUGUUUGAAAGUUGCAAUUGCACCGCUACCAGAUGGACCUGCGUUGUAUUAGCUAGUUGGUGGGGUAACGGCUCACCAAGGCGACGAUACAUAGCCGACCUGAGAGGGUGAUCGGCCACACUGGGACGGAGACACGGCCCAGACGCCUACGGGAGGCAGCAGGAGGGAAUCUUCGGCAAUGGACGGAAGUCUGACCGAGCAACGCCGCGUGAGUGAAGAAGGUUUUCGGAUCGUAAAGCUCUGUUGUAAGAGAAGAACGAGUGUGAGAGUGGAAAGUUCACACUGUGACGGUAUCUUACCAGAAAGGGACGGCUAACUACGUG